GGAGGGGUGACCGAGCGGCUUAAGGUGACGGUCUUGAAAACCGUUGUGGUCUUACGGCCACCGGGGGUUCGAAUCCCUCCCCCUCCGCCA
rnacentral:tRNA from 1 species